rnacentral:rRNA from 1 species
CUGGCGGUAUGCCUAAACAUGUCUCGUCGAACGCACCUUUCGGGGUGAGUGGCGGACGGGUGAGUAACGCGUGAGAAUCUGCCGAAGGGACGGGGAUAACCACGGGAAACGGUGGCUAAUACCGGAUGAGCCGAAAGGUAAAAGAUUUUAUCGCCCUUCGAGGAGCUCGCGUCCGAUUAGCUAGUUGGUGAGGUAAAAGCUCACCAAGGCAGCGAUCGGUAGCUGGUCUGAGAGGAUGAGCAGCCACACUGGGACUGAGACACUGGCCCAGACUCCUACGGGAGGCAGCAGUGGGGAAUUUUCCGCAAUGGGCGCAAGCCUGACGGAGCAAUACCGCGUGAGGGAGGAAGGCUCUUGGGUUGUAAACCUCUUUUCUCAGGGAAGAAGUUCUGACGGUACCUGAGGAAUAAGCAUCGGCUAACUCCGUGCCAGCAGCCGCGGUAAUACGGAGGAUGCAAGCGUUAUCCGGAAUUAUUGGGCGUAAAGCGUCCGCAGGUGGCAUUUCCAGUCUGCUGUCAAGACCAAGGCUCAACCUUGGGCAGGCAGUGGAAACUGAAAUCUAGAGUGCGGUAGGGGUAGGGGGAAUCCCAGUGUAA